GGGAGGGUUGGGGGGGAAACCCAAAAUGGUGUUUCCAGCAACAAAGAUCUGCCAGGGCAAGGAGUGGGGCCCAACAAACUGGGCUGGCCCGAGCUCAAGCCCGACUUUUCCAGCAAUCCAACGGCAGCCAUUUUUUUCCGAAUAAAAAAAUCGAAACUGCCCCCCCCAACGGCUCUCUUCCACGUGGCUCCUUAUGGGCUCUCUGAUCCCCUUUUUCC
rnacentral:lncRNA from 1 species